rnacentral:tRNA from 2 species
GGAGAGGUACCGAAGUGGUCGUAACGGGAUCGACUCGAAAUCGAUUUGGGGGCCACAAAGCUCCCACGGGGGUUCGAAUCCCCCUCUCUCCG